AUACGAACCGGACAAACGUUAUUCGGAAUUAUUGGGCUUAAAGGGUGCGUAGGCGGCGCGGUAAGUGAGGUGUGAAAGCCCACGGCUCAACCGUGGAAUGGCGCUUCAUACUGCCGUGCUAGAGGGAGACAGAGGUAAGCGGAACUGAUGGUGGAGCGGUGAAAUGCGUUGAUAUUAUCAGGAACACCGGUGGCGAAAGCGGCUUACUGGGUCUCUUCUGACGCUGAGGCACGAAAGCUAGGGUAGCGAACGGGAUUAGAAACCCCUGUAGUCC
rnacentral:rRNA from 1 species